rnacentral:rRNA from 1 species
CAUGCAGUCGAGCGGGGUGAUGGUGCUUGCACUAUCACCUAGCGGCGGACGGGUGAGUAAUGCUUAGGAAUCUGCCUAUUAGUGGGGGACAACAUUUCGAAAGGAAUGCUAAUACCGCAUACGUCCUACGGGAGAAAGCAGGGGAUCUUCGGACCUUGCGCUAAUAGAUGAGCCUAAGUCGGAUUAGCUAGUUGGUGGGGUAAAGGCCUACCAAGGCGACGAUCUGUAGCGGGUCUGAGAGGAUGAUCCGCCACACUGGGACUGAGACACGGCCCAGACUCCUACGGGAGGCAGCAGUGGGGAAUAUUGGACAAUGGGCGCAAGCCUGAUCCAGCCAUGCCGCGUGUGUGAAGAAGGCCUUAUGGUUGUAAAGCACUUUAAGCGAGGAGGAGGCUACUUUAGAUAAUACCUAGAGAUAGUGGACGUUACUCGCAGAAUAAGCACCGGCUAACUCUGUGCCAGCAGCCGCGGUAAUACAGAGGGUGCAAGCGUUAAUCGGAUUUACUGGGCGUAAAGCGCGCGUAGGCGGCUAAUUAAGUCAAAUGUGAAAUCCCCGAGCUUAACUUGGGAAUUGCAUUCGAUACUGGUUAGCUAGAGUGUGGGAGAGGAUGGUAGAAUUCCAGGUGUAGCGGUGAAAUGCGUAGAGAUCUGGAGGAAUACCGAUGGCGAAGGCAGCCAUCUGGCCUAACACUGACGCUGAGGUGCGAAAGCAUGGGGAGCAAACAGGAUUAGAUACCCUGGUAGUCCAUGCCGUAAACGAUGUCUACUAGCCGUUGGGGCCUUUGAGGCUUUAGUGGCGCAGCUAACGCGAUAAGUAGACCGCCUGGGGAGUACGGUCGCAAGACUAAAACUCAAAUGAAUUGACGGGGGCCCGCACAAGCGGUGGAGCAUGUGGUUUAAUUCGAUGCAACGCGAAGAACCUUACCUGGCCUUGACAUAGUAAGAACUUUCCAGAGAUGGAUUGGUGCCUUCGGGAACUUACAUACAGGUGCUGCAUGGCUGUCGUCAGCUCGUGUCGUGAGAUGUUGGGUUAAGUCCCGCAACGAGCGCAACCCUUUUCCUUAUUUGCCAGCGAGUAAUGUCGGGAACUUUAAGGAUACUGCCAGUGACAAACUGGAGGAAGGGCGGGACGANUUCAGUCAUCAGGGCCUUACGGCCGGGCUAC